CUGAAAAUACAAGCACACGUGUGGCAGGAAUCACUCAAUGGGAGAGACAUUUUAAUAUCUCAUGCUUCUGCUUUUCUUUCAACAUGAGAAGACUGGUUGCAAUUCAGACGAUCCUGUCAAAGUAUUUAUGAAUGAACACAGAACUAACUGCUUUGGUGUUCAAGUAUUAUCCAACUUUGAAACCAUGUGCACAUGUAACAGAGAAGACCAUUAAGUUACUUUUCACUUUACACAAUUCACUUCACAAGACUGUUGUUGUAAAGAAGAAAUCUAGAGAAGACUUUCAUGUAAGUCACCUUAAGCUCCUCAAGGAAUAAGAAUA